rnacentral:rRNA from 1 species
GAGUUUGAUACUGGCUCAGAUUGAACGCUGGCGGCAUGCCUUACACAUGCAAGUCGAACGGCAGCAUGAUCUAGCUUGCUAGAUUGAUGGCGAGUGGCGAACGGGUGAGUAAUACAUCGGAACGUGCCCUGUAGUGGGGGAUAACUAGUCGAAAGAUUAGCUAAUACCGCAUACGACCUGAGGGUGAAAGUGGGGGACCGCAAGGCCUCAUGCUAUAGGAGCGGCCGAUGUCUGAUUAGCUAGUUGGUGGGGUAAAGGCCCACCAAGGCGACGAUCAGUAGCUGGUCUGAGAGGACGAUCAGCCACACUGGGACUGAGACACGGCCCAGACUCUUACGGGAGGCAGCAGUGGGGAAUUUGGACAAUGGGCGAAAGCCUGAUCCAGCAAUGCCGCGUGUGUGAAGAAGGCCUCGGUGUAA